rnacentral:rRNA from 1 species
UACGUAGGGGGCAAGCGUUGUCCGGAUUUAUUGGGCGUAAAGAGCGUGUAGGCGGCCAGACAGGUCCGUUGUGAAAACUCGAGGCUCAACCUCGAGACGCCGAUGGAAACCGUCUGGCUAGAGUCCGGAAGAGGAGAGUGGAAUUCCUGGUGUAGCGGUGAAAUGCGCAGAUAUCAGGAGGAACACCAAUUGCGAAGGCAGCUCGCUGGGACGUUACUGACGCUGAGGCGCGAAAGCGUGGGGAGCAAACAGG